rnacentral:rRNA from 1 species
CAUGCAAGUCGAGCGAGGAAUGAUUGGUAGCUUGCUACCGGUUAUUUCUAGCGGCGGACGGGUGAGUAACGCGUGAGCAACCUGCCUUUAUCAGGGGGAUAACGCAUCGAAAGAUGCGCUAAUACCGCGUAAGACCACAGCCUCACAUGGGGCAGGGGUCAAAGGAGCAAUCCGGAUAAAGAUGGGCUCGCGUCCGAUUAGCUAGUUGGUGAGAUAACAGCCCACCAAGGCAACGAUCGGUAGCCGACCUGAGAGGGUGAUCGGCCACAUUGGAACUGAGAGACGGUCCAGACUCCUACGGGAGGCAGCAGUGGGGAAUAUUGGGCAAUGGGCGAAAGCCUGACCCAGCAACGCCGCGUGAGGGAAGAAGGGUUUCGGCUCGUAAACCUCUGUCCUAUGGGACGAAGGAAGUGACGGUACCAUAGGAGGAAGCCCCGGCUAACUACGUGCCAGCAGCCGCGGUAAUACGUAGGGGACGAGCGUUGUCCGGAAUGAUUGGGCGUAAAGGGCGCGUAGGCGGCCUGCUAAGUCUGGAGUGAAAGUCCUGCUUUCAAGGUGGGAAGUGCUUUGGAUACUGGUGGGCUGGAGUGCAGGAGAGGAAAGCGGAAUUACCGGUGUAGCGGUGAAAUGCGUAGAGAUCGGUAGGAACACCAGUGGCGAAGGCGGCUUUCUGGACUGAAACUGACGCUGAGGCGCGAAAGCGUGGGG